rnacentral:sRNA from 1 species
GGAAAAGUGUGAAAAUUCAAGGAAACAAGUGAAAAAAGGUGGUGAAUCCUCCGAUAAAGGCAAAGAAAUUGUACCCGAGGAUUGAUAGUCAGAGUACUCUAAAAAUUCGACUCUCGAAAUAGCUCAAAAUAGGCUGUAGAUAGCUUAUAUCGUCGAAGGCUACAAUUGGCUUUACUUCCACAAAAAUCGUAAGUUCACAGCCUUCGUUCACUUUUGUCAUCUGAGGGCCCACGUGUCAUUGUAAAUUAAAUUUUAUACUUUGGUUAUCUGUAUUACAGUAUGUAUGAAUUUAUU